AUCGCUCUCUUUCCCCUCAGGCAAGCAGCAAGACGGGGGCACGAAGACGGAGGUCAAGGUGCAGGGGUCACUAGCUGAGACCCUGCAUGAGGUCGAAGGUCGCCCGUGCCGUGAUCACGGUAACCAGAAGGUCAAGGAGGAGGAGCGACGGGGAGAAUCCACCCACUCUGGGAUAGAGGGCGCAGAGGUCACGGAGGACCAGGGGCCAAAGUCCAAAGGGCACGGAGACGGAGGGAAAGUGGAAGAGAAGAGAAAGUCUUCGUUCAGCAGCUUCUUCGGCAAGCAGCAAGACGGGGGCACGGAGACGGAGGUCAAGGUGCAGGGGUCACUAGCUGAGACCCUGCAUGAGGUCGAAGGUCGCCCGUGCCGUGAUCACGGUAACCAGAAGGUCAAGGAGGAGCAGCGACGGGGAGAAUCCACCCGCUCUGGGAUAGAGGGCGCAGAGGUCACGGAGGACCAGGGGUCAAAGUCCAAAGGGCACGGAGACGGAGGGAAAGUGGAAGAGAAGAGAAAGUCUUCGUUCAGCAGCUUCUUCGCUCCCCGUAAACCGGUUCAAAGCCGGAGAAAGAUUCAAGGAAACGAUGCCUAAAAACGAUGAACCCCCCGAGCCACUAAGACAGGGACCAAGCGAUGUAUUGGGGGGAAGGAGGACCCCGACCC